rnacentral:rRNA from 1 species
GACAGAGGAGCCAAGCGUUGUCCGGAUUGACUGGGCGUAAAGCGCACGCAGGCGGAACGGCGCGUGGGGUGUGAAAGCUGGCGGCUUAACUGCCAGUCGCCAUCCCAUACGGCCAUUCUGGAGCCUUGCAGAGGGCAGUGGAAUUGCCGGUGUAGUGGUGAAAUGCGUAGAGAUCGGCAGGAACACCCAGGGGAAACCAGCUGCCUGGGCAAGCGCUGACGCUGAGGUACGAAAGCGUGGGGAGCGAACAGG